AUUGAACGCUGGCGGCAGGCCUAACACAUGCGAGUCGAGCGGAUGAAGGGAGCUUGCUCCUGGAUUCAGCGGCGGACGGGUGAGUAAUGCCUAGGAAUCUGCCUGGUAGUGGGGGAUAACGUCCGGAAACGGGCGCUAAUACCGCAUACGUCCUGAGGGAGAAAGUGGGGGAUCUUCGGACCUCACGCUAUCAGAUGAGCCUAGGUCGGAUUAGCUAGUUGGUGGGGUAAAGGCCUACCAAGGCGACGAUCCGUAACUGGUCUGAGAGGAUGAUCAGUCACGCUGGAACUGAGACACGGUCCAGACUCCUACGGGAGGCAGCAGUGGGGAAUAUUGGACAAGGGGCGAAAGCCUGAUCCAGCCAUGCCGCGUGUGUGAAGAAGGUCUUCGGAUUGUAAAGCACUUUAAGUUGGGAGGAAGGGCAGUAAGUUAAUACCUUGCUGUUUUGACGUUACCAAAAGAAUAAGCACCGGCUAACUUCGU
rnacentral:rRNA from 1 species